rnacentral:rRNA from 1 species
AUUGAACGCUGGCGGCAGGCCUAACACAUGCAAGUCGAGCGGAUGACGGGAGCUUGCUCCUUGAUUCAGCGGCGGACGGUUGAGUAAUGCCUAGGAAUCUGCCUGGUAGUGGGGGACAACGUUUCGAAAGGAACGCUAAUACCGCAUACGUCCUACGGGAGAAAGCAGGGGACCUUCGGGCCUUGCGCUAUCAGAUGAGCCUAGGUCGGAUUAGCUAGUUGGUGAGGUAAUGGCUCACCAAGGCGACGAUCCGUAACUGGUCUGAGAGGAUGAUCAGUCACACUGGAACUGAGACACGGUCCAGACUCCUACGGGAGGCAGCAGUGGGGAAUAUUGGACAAUGGGCGAAAGCCUGAUCCAGCCAUGCCGCGUGUGUGAAGAAGGUCUUCGGAUUGUAAAGCACUUUAAGUUGGGAGGAAGGGCAGUAAGUUAAUACCUUGCUGCUUUGACGUUACCGACAGAAUAAGCACCGGCUAACUCUGUGCCAGCAGCCGCAGUAA